UACAGAGGGGGCAAGCGUUAUUCGGAAUUAUUGGGCGUAAAGGGCGCGUAGGCGGCCACCGCAAGUCGGUUGUGAAAUCUCCGGGCUUAACCCGGAAAGGUCAAUCGAUACUGCGGGGCUAGAGUGCAGAAGGGGCAACUGGAAUUCUCGGUGUAGCGGUGAAAUGCGUAGAUAUCGAGAGGAACACCUGCGGCGAAGGCGGGUUGCUGGGCUGACACUGACGCUGAAGCGCGAAAGCUAGGGUAGCAAACGGG
rnacentral:rRNA from 1 species